CUUAACCGCGGAAGUGCCUUUGAAACUGUUGCUCUUGAGUCCCGGAGAGGUUGCCGGAAUUCGUGGUGUAGCGGUGAAAUGCGUAGAUAUCACGAGGAACACCAGAGGCGAAAGCGGGCAACUGGACGGGUACUGACACUGAGGCACGAAAGCGUGGGGGGCAAACAGGAUUAGAUACCCUGGUAGUCCGCGCCGUAAACGAUGAAUGCUCGCCGUUACCUCGUCAAGGGGUAGUGGCUAAGCUAACGCGUUAAGCAUUCCGCCUGGGGAGUACGAUCGCAAGGUUGAAACUCAAAGGAAUUGACGGGGGCCCGCACAAGCGGUGGAGCAUGUGGCUUAAUUCGAUGCAACGCGAAGAACCUUACCUAGGCUCGAACGCUAGACGACCGCUCCUGAAAGGGAGCUUUCCGCAAGGACGU
rnacentral:rRNA from 1 species